UAUUAAUUUGCAUAUCGACAGCGGAAAGGCAGGACUUCGUAACUGAAAAAAUUUUAUAACGAGUUACUUCAGUUUUCGCUUUAGAAUAAGUGUAUCGGCAGCUAUUAAACAGCGAUUACAGCUAGGAAAGUUUCAAGUUUCCGGAAGGCUUCCAAAAGGCUUUCCCAGCUCUAAAAGCUGUUUAAUAGGUGCUGAUACACUUAUUCUAAAGCGAAAACCGAAGUAACUCAUUUUAUACAAAUUUUUCAGUUAUGAGGUCCUGCCUUUCCACCGUCGAUAUACACAAUAUAAUUUAAAACAAGAAUGUUACCACUAAACCACUUUUUAAAUAUUACUCAUGAAUAUUUACUACAGUUUACAAUUUCAAACUAGUGUGUUUGAUUCUCCUAUACCUAUAUUUUACUUUUUUAGUAAACUUCAGACUGUUCAGGAUAGCAUAAUAGCAUAGGAGGCGAAUUAAAAAGAAUUGAUUUACUUACAAGAAAAGAUAUCACAAACAUUAAACUCUCUUAUGGCAUUGAUUUGAAAGAUGGGUAUAUGUACAAUGAUGAUGCAACCAGUGUUUAUUUUUGGGUUGAAUGCUUACAGACUCAUGUCCAAUAUUAUUUUACAAACAACAGGGCAUACUAAUGGAUUCUCAUUCUGAAUUUAACAUUUAUGAUUUUUGUCUUAUUUUCCUUAAUACUGUGCCAAAAGGAAAUGUUAAUUAAGUUUGGUAAAUCCUUUAUCGCAAUCGAUGGAACUCAUGGGCUCAAUUCCUAUGACUUUGAACUUAUUGACAGUAUUAGUAAAAGAUGAAUUUGGGAAUGGAUUUUGUACUGCUGUCUUAUUUUCAAAUAGAAAAGAUACCUACUUUAAUUUACCAAUUUUUUUAAAUACAUGUCUGUGUUGGUAUUAUAUGUGUAUAGGGCUUUUCAUUCACAGUCAUUUGUUUCGAGCUUGUGCUAUGUUUCGAGCAUAUGUCACAUAAUAUUAAUAUAUCUACGUCAUACGUUAUUGGUAUCUGGAAUGAUACAAACCAAAGACGUAUGGCGUAGAUAUAUUAAUAUUAUGUGACACAUGACAGAAGCUUGAAACAAAUGACAGUCGAUGAAAAGCCCUAUAGUCAAAUGUUUUCAUAUCAGACAUAAGCGACACCUUUUACAAUGCCUCGUCAAAUGUAAUGGAUAUUGCUCCUAAUAGACUGUUAAGUGCCUGGCACAUAGAUAGGGCAUGGUAAGUAAAUCUUAAUAAAAUAUCUGAUUCUGAAAAAAAUCCUAUUAUGUAUACAAGAUGUAUUAAUGAUGGUUUAGAGAGUAUUAAUAGCUUUUUGGGUAGACUUCUAAGUGAUGCAGAUACAUACAAUUUUAGUAAGUAUUUCCAGUAGAACUACUGCAAUAACAUCCAACAAUGGGCCUAUUGUUAUAGGAAGGGGUUGUGGAAUUAAUACCAAUAUGACCAUUCAAAAUUUUCAUAAAAUUUUGGAUAAAAGGGUAUAGUAUUUUUACUACAAAAGCGAUAUUACGUAGGUCAAAAUUUUUGACGUAAUAGAACUGUCAAAACAUUAGAAUGUGACUUUUCAUUAUUGCCAUGUUUAUUAUAAAUAAUGAAAAGUCACAUUCUAAUGUUUUGACAGUUCUCUUACGUCAAAAAUUUUGACCUACGUAAUAUCGCUUUUGUAGUAAAAAUACUAUAUCCAUUAGUUGUUAUCAGUUAAGUUUAAAACUUGGCACUCAUGGAGAGCUAUACCAUAAUAUAUAAUAGGUAUAUUUCAUAAUAUUACAUCUCGUAUUGUUCACUACAGUAGUAAUGAGUGAGCCUGCAUACACAGAACCAUAAUAAUAUAUUAUAGUUUGUGUAUGCAGGCUCACUCAUUACAAUAGUGAGCAAUAUGAGAUAUAACAUAUUAUAGUAUAAGUCAUGUGCAUGACCAGAUUAACAUGUUUGGUGCCCAUCUCGAACAAGCUCCACUUGGCUGGUACCACAUACUUAAAUCAUUUAUUUAGUUACACAGUACUACUCACAUAACUUAUGUGUCGUCAGUACCUUCCGUAAAACCUUCGUGAUGCUACCCAUACGUCAUGGCCACUAAAUGUGUUAAAGCUUGUUAAUGUAGGAGAGUUAUACUAAAAUAUAUAUCUUAUAUUAUAUUGCCUUAAAUAGAAAAAAUAUCUUAUUUAAAUUGUAUCCAUGUAAGUUUUGAUUUAAUGAAAUAAACCUUUUAAUCAAAAAAGUGUUGUUUACUUGUGUACACCCAGUAAUAUCCUGAUCAUAGAUAAAUAAUAUAGUAUUACCGGAUCCUGAUAUGCAGACGCCAAUAGGGCUUUUCAUUGAUUGUCAUUUGUUUCGAGCUUCUGUCAUGAGUCACAUAAUAUUAAUGUAUCUAUGUCAUACGUCUUUGGUUUGUAUCAUUGGUAUAUACCAAUAACGUACGACGUAGAUAUUAUGUGACACAUGACUGAAGCUCGAAACAAAUGACUGAAUGAAAUGCCCUAUUGAAUAGGACUUUUCAUCGAUUGUCAUUUGUUUUGAGCUUCGGUCAAGUGUCACAUAAUAUUAAUAUAUCUACGUCAUACAUCUUUGGUUUGUAUCAUUGGCAAUAUCAAUAACAUAUGACAUAGAUAUAUAUUAAUAUUAGACAACACAUGACAGAAGCUCGAAACAAAUGACUGAGUGAAAAGCCCUAUAUCAUGUAAAUACAAGUCAUAAAGAUGUCUUUCUACGGUUAAAAUUGCACAGCCUAAAGACAUCAUUUAUGUAACUUCUUAAGCCGUCACAAAAUGACUGCAAUAAGAAAAUAGAAUUUAUUAACUCGCCUCGCCCCCAGGCAAAGUAAAGGUGCUAGGCCACUAAGAAUGUUUUUUCAAUUUUUUUUAUUUUGCGGCUUUAGCGCUUAGCUAUUUAGCCAGAUACAUGAUGAGAAUUAAUACUAUUAUAAUACAUAUUAAAACUAAUUCAAAUUACUAGUAAUUUUAUUAAUAUUCUGAAUAAUUAUGUAACCACUUAAUACUAAAAUAAAAAAGUGUCCAUCUAUACUAUCCCAACACAUUUUCACCUUUGAAAUCGUAAAUUUCCAUUCCCAUUAAAAAAUAAUUUGUACUGUAUAAGUUUAUUAUAUAAUAUUUCUUUUGAGCUUCAUUUUUUUUUCAAAAUACUGCAACAUGAGUUUUAAAUUAUGACACAGUACAAUACUUGUUUCAAUAUUUACAUGUAAAUAAAAUAAUCCUAAUUACUUGUAAAAGUAAGGUUAUAAAUUUAAGAAUACAGAACUCUUUUAAUAAUUACCAAAGUGGCAUUAAACUAAUUUUAAAAUUCCCGCUAAAAGGAAAAAGGUAAAUCUGGCAACAGUGCCGUCGUUUGCUGGACAUUUCUCUCCCCCUGACUUUGUAGAGUAAAUUUUUGGCAUUAGGCAAUCCAAACCACGUGACCUCUGGUUGGCACACAAACUAACAAAGAGGUUAUGUUUGCAUCUAUUUUUCAUUGUUUAUCGUCGUAUUUUGGAUUCAUUUGGAUUUCGUUUCCUGUUUUUGUGAACUUUAUAAACUUUACCACAAUGCAAACUGAUUAUUUAAGGAAAUUAUUAUUGGAAACUCCAGAUGUUGCGAGAAAGGUAGGCGAAACAAUUUUUUUUACUGUUCAUUUUGCCCCGAUAUUUAUCAAUAAUGAUGAAUUUUGCAAGCAAUAACAUUAUUUCUUUUAUUGUUCUAGAUAUUUAUUGAAGCUGAAAAUAAUUGGGGAUUUAGAUCCAUACGCAAUUCAGUCAGAAUUGGAUUUUACAGUAAAGUGCAGUCCAUCAAAUUACUAUUAUAGAUAUUUAUACAUAUCUGGUGGAGUCUGAUAUGUCACAGUUGCUACUCUAAGCAGCAGAUGAAAGCAUACAAAAGCCUUCAGGCACAUAAAUAUUUUACAGCUGGAUUUGUUUUGAAUGGAGUAAAAAUUGUUAAUGAUUUCCAUAUUAUUGUCAGAAAGGUGAAGCAUUUCCAAAAAUCUAAUGCUAAACGACUAAAUGCUUGGGUGGGGUGAUAGCCAGUUCUGAUGACAUAGCAAAUUCACAUUGUAUGCGUAUGGCCGGUAAUAGUGAAGUCUGCAGCCAUAUUGCAGCAAUCCUAUGUUUAGCUUAGUAUGCUCAGGGCAAGACAGACGAAGAAGAACCCAAUGUAUGUACAUAUGUUACAGCUACAUGGUUUGGAGAUAGCAACAUAUGCAUUCUCUGAUGAAAAACUAAUGAGUUUUGAAACUGUUCGGUCAGAGUGCUUGUUGCGCUCACUAAACGAAUUGAAAUAUAAGAUGGCUUUGGCAUUGUGUUGCAGCCAUAUGAAAAUGGUUAUUCAUUUUUAAUUAUAAUGUACUUCUUCAUCAUGAGUAAUUAUGUAUUGGUCUUUUAAAUGUGUAUUUAUUUUUGUAAUUAGUAUCAACUUGUAAUGAUAAUAUACAUUUAUCGUUUAAGGUAUGACUAUGUUUUGACUCUAAAAUAAAUGUUUUAAAAAUCGAA